rnacentral:misc_RNA from 1 species
AACGCACGAGACCUGCGGACCUGCGGAGGGAUCAUUACCGAGUUAUCCAACUCCCAACCCCUGUGAAUCAUACCUUUAAUUGUUGCUUCGGCGGGACUUCGCGCCCGCCGGGGACCCAAACCUUCUGAAUUUUUUAAUAAGUAUCUUCUGAGUGGUUAAAAAAAAUGAAUCAAAACUUUUAACAAUGGAUCUCU